UUCCCCCAUUUCUACUUGGAACUCAGUGAACCAACAAGACAAAGGACAUGCCACUGUGGUCCACGAAGAGAUUCCAGAGCCAGAGGAGGAGACUCUUGGAGGCAGAAGAGACUGAGAGAUUCUGGGAGAAGUGGAAGCCAUAUAUUGAAAGCAUGCUGACAAGGUGGCCAGAUAAGGAAACUGAGGCCCAGAGAGAUGAAACAACUUGCCCCAAAACAUGGAGACAGCAUCUGGUAGAGCCAUUAUUCAAAUAUAGAGCUCUUUUCAUGUGCCCCACUGUAUCUCAGCUCUUGUCAGGGAUGUUGCAGAGAUGAGAACAGACAGAUGGUCUAGAUGACCUCUGAAAUCCUUCCUCCUCUGAUUCUGGGACCUUGCUCUGGCUAAGUUUAUAACUAGCUUCCCAUCAAUUCUUGUUUCUGGCAAAGAUUCUUCAACUCUUCUCCUUCUUCCUCCUGGAACAUCUAACUGCCAUGCUGGCCUUCUUUUCUUAUGGGACUAUAGAUUUGGGGCCGGAAGGGACCUCAUCUGGUCCAGCUCUCUCAUUCUGAAGCCCAGAGGAGUUAGAUGCCUUGCCCAAAGGUCACACAGGCAGCAAGGAGCAGAUAGAGAAUUUUGAUGGGGUGCUCAGGCUGCAGCCCUAAGAUCAUGUCUCUGGAAGCCUCCCAAUUUCUCAAUAAGCCCCUGUACUGUGAGAAAAAUCUCUCUUGUUGCAGAACACAGUCUCUUAUGAGAACAUUCAGAGGGGUGCCUGGCCCAAGGAGUUUUGUGCCUAGCUGGCCCAAGGACUCUCUUGUCAUCAGAUCCCCAAGGUCUAUGUCUUUAACAACUCCUUCAAUGUCUGGUAUACUCCCUACACUUUCCCAUCUAUAGCUCUCAAAGACACCUGGAUCCCUAGAUUACCUAAUUAGCAUCCCUGGCAUUCUUUUCCCAUGACCCUUUUCCAUAUAAGCCCCAGCACCAUCGUAAUUCUCUUGAAGGUUCCAUAAGGACCCUUGCCCGCUUUUGCUAAAGUGUUACAAUAAACUUUUUGC